rnacentral:lncRNA from 1 species
UUUAAAGAUAUUCGUUCCUGUGAUGUUGCUCGCAUGGGCUAUCCUGGUACCAGUCAACUGGACAAAUAAUACCUUGGAGAAAGCUAAUGCAACUAAUAAACUUCAGUACAGUGACAUUGAUAAGCUAUCUAUUUCAAACAUUCCAUUUGGAUCGAGCAGGUGAGGAGCAUGCUUUCUUCAUAGCCCCCCCCUUUUUUUUUUUUUUUAAUUUAAAUCUUCAACAGUAGUUUAGUAUCAUCCAUCUGUAUUUGUGCACUUUAGGUCUAGAAGUAAAAUUUUAUCCAUCCAUUAUUGUGUUUGGUGUUAAAUUGAUCAAUUAUUGUGUUGGACUAGUCUUAACGUUUGGAGGGUUCUCAAUCAUUACUGGCGAACUGAGUUUGGGUUUCAACUUUUGAGUUGUUAAAUGGCCAAGAUUGAACCAGGGCAUGUUCUAUAUAAAUUAUGCUGGGUUAUUUAAAAUGGCAUUUUGUAUGUUAAGGUUUCUGGUCAAAAUCAAGUCUUUCAUUAUGGACUCAAGUAACCGUUUGCCUCAUUAUUCAUUUCAAGCAUACCAAAUGAGUCAAAGUUGUCUGUUUGAAAAGGUGCAAGCUGAACUUGAAUAUCAUUUAUUUAGCACAUCAUCAGAGCAAGCAGCAUAUAAGUCCUGUUUCAUUUAGCUGUAUUCAUUUCCACCUACCUCUAAUAUGAUGUCAUUUGCUAGUGGUGCCAUCAAUAUUUUUAAUUGAAGUGUUCUUCAUGCACACUUGUACAACAGCCUCCUUGUAAUGCAAUUAAGGUUGCAGCUUUGUGUCUACAAUUUAUAUGAAAUAGAUUUUCAGAUCUUGGUCCAUGACUAGUUUUCUGUUCCAUCACACCUAAGCACUGUGGCAU